rnacentral:lncRNA from 1 species
AUGAGCAGGGCAGAGGCCCUGUUUUGUGCCCUUUUUGGAAAAGGCCUCUGGAACAGGUUUUCAGGGACCCAGAUACAGAAGGUCCACAGGAGAGCAAUUUCCGAGCUGUCUGAAGGCGUGGGAAGGACCUGGCUUGGGGGGGGGGGGGUGCAGGAGGUGGGCAGGGCCGCAGCCUGGGCCACCUUGGCAGCCCGAGGCCAGGGGCUCCGCAGCCUCCCGCCCCCGUCCCGACCCCCUCCCCUAGCCCCACGUCUCAGUCUUUCCUGCCUGCCUCUCCCCAGGAAAUCCCCGCCCCUGCCCGGAGAAGCCCCCUCCUGCCCCCCCGCCGGCGGAGGCGCUGGAGGGGGCGCUGGCGGGGAUCUGGAAGGUCUGGAAAACUCUGGCGGAUUGUUUCCCUGCGGGAGAGCCCCUCCUCGCUCCCCCCGGCCCACUCGGGUUUCUCCGGCUGGGCCGAAGGAGACCAGGCCCGAGCUGGGCGAGGUCGGGGUCCGGCUGCGCCCCCGCCGCCGGGCCGGGGAGGCUGGGGAGGCGGAGGAGCGAGGGGCCCGACCCGGGCCGGGCCCUGGGAAGGAGGGAUUUUGUCCCAGGCCUGCCAGGCGCCCCAGCGCAGGCUCAGUUUCCAGGCUUUCUCUCCCGACAUGUCCCCGCGUCGCUCGGGCCGCGCCGAAGGGCUCGGAGCCGCGCUCUUCCCGGCCCUCGGCUCCCGCCGCCUCCGCCACGGCUCGCAACAGUCGGCCUGGCGCGGGCCGGGGGCUGCUCGCCGCGGGGCGCGGGCCCGAGCGGGUUCCCUCCUGGCCCUGGGGGCGCGGGGCUCACCCGCCCAGGACCCCAGGCCUCCCCGGGCAGGAAGGAAGGCCUGUGCCGGGCUGCAGACCCAGGCGAGCAGCCCAGGCCUCCCCCACCCCCAGCGAGAUCCUUUGCGGCCUUUUUUGCGGGGUGAGUGCGCUGCUCCGCGGGGAAGCCCCCCAGCGCGUCCCCGAGCCCGGGGAGGCCCGGCCUGCGCCCCUGCGCCCCUGCAGGCCUGCGCCCCCGCCGCCUCCCGGGAGAGGCGAGCGCAGGGGGCUGGGGGCUUGCAGGCGGCGGCGGACGCGGAGCCUGCUCCAACUUUCGCCCCGGGCCGGCGCACGAGCGAAUUAA